UACGUAGGGGGCAAGCGUUGUCCGGAAUUAUUGGGCGUAAAGCGCGCGCAGGCGGUCGAUUAAGUCUGGUGUCUAAGCUCAAGGCUCAACCUUGGGACGCAUUGGAAACUGGUCGACUGGAGUGUAGGAGAGGAAAGUGGAAUUCCACGUGUAGCGGUGAAAUGCGUAGAGAUGUGGAGGAACACCAGUGGCGAAGGCGACUUUCUGGCCUAUAACUGACGCUGAGGCGCGAAAGCGUGGGGAGCAAACAGG
rnacentral:rRNA from 1 species